ACUACGGGGGGCAGCAGUGAGGAAUAUUGGUCAAUGGGCGCGAGCCUGAACCAGCCAAGUAGCGUGAAGGAUGACUGCCCUACGGGUUGUAAACCUCUUUUAUAAAGGAAUAAAGUGAGGCACGUGUGCCUUUUUGUAUGUACUUUAUGAAUAAGGAUCGGCUAACUCCGUGCCAGCAGCCGCGGUAAUACGGAGGAUCCGAGCGUUAUCCGGAUUUAUUGGGUUUAAAGGGUGCGUAGAUGGGUUGUUAAGUCAGGUGUGAAAGGCUGCGGCUCAACCGUCAAAUUGCAAUUGAUACUGACAGUCUUGAGUACAGGUGAGGUAGGCGGAAUGCGUGGUGUAGCGGUGAAAUGCUUAGAUAUCACGAAGAACUCCGAUUGCGAAGGCAGCUUACUAAACUGCCACUGACAUUGAUGCUCGAAAGUGUGGGUAUCAAACAGGAUUAGAUACCCGGGUAGUC
rnacentral:rRNA from 1 species